GGGACCUGCAUGUCACAAGGAAUAGGGCCCUGUAGGAAAGUGAUGGUAAAAAAAAAGUGUGAGUAAUAUAAGCUAUCACAUCCAGAAAAUUCUCAUAACAUAAUUGAACUGUAGCGGGUGGCACUGAUGAUAAACAUGCUACAGGCAGAGACUCAUAAUGACAGUAGCAAUGUGAUCAUGGAAUUAAUGCAGAGGUGACUUCACACUCUCAGCCACUCCAUGGGACAGGAAAGGUGUUUGGCAGUUACACUCCACGUGCACCCAAGGCAAGACUCCUGGAUGUUUUCAGAGCAAUCCCCAUUUCAGAUAUCCUGUCCACUUAUUAAGCAUGGUAGCAAAUCAUGUGUGCUCUCUUUUGGUCACAAAAAUACCGGGUCAGAUAAACAUCUGGACCGAAAGGGGUUUCCAAUCUAUUGAAUGAUACCUGUACAUUUUCACCCCCUGCGCCUACAUGAGCCACCCCAAGUAAAAUCUCUGACCAAUGA